CCUACGGGAGGCAGCAGUGGGGAAUAUUGGUCAAUGGGGGGAACCCUGAACCAGCGACGCCGCGUGCAGGAUGAAGGAUUUCGGGUUGUAAACCUCUUUUAGUAGGGAAGAAACUGACGGUAUCUAACGACCAAGCACCGGCUAAAAACGUGCCAGCAGCCGCGGUAAUACGGAGGGGGCGAGCGUUAUUCGGAAUCACUGGGCGUAAAGGGCGCGUAGGCGGGAUUGCAAGACAGAUGUGAAAUCCUAGGGCUCAACCAGAGAACUGCACUUGGAACUGUUAUUCUAGAGUAUGGGAGAGGUAGGUGGAAUUCCUGGUGUAGGGGUGAAAUGCGUAGAGAUGAAGAGGAACACUGAUUGCGAAGGCGACCUGCUAGAACGUAACUGACGCUGAUGCGCGAAAGCGUGGGGAGCAAACAGGAUUAGAUACCCCUGUAGUC
rnacentral:rRNA from 1 species